rnacentral:tRNA from 1 species
GGGGAUAUAGCUCAGUGGUAGAGUGUAUGCUCAGUAUGCUUGAGGCCCUGGGUUCAAUCCCCAGCACCA